rnacentral:rRNA from 1 species
UUUAGCCUACGGGAGGCAGCAGUGAGGAAUAUUGGUCAAUGGGCGAGAGCCUGAACCAGCCAAGUCGCGUGAGGGAAGACGGUCCUAUGGAUUGUAAACCUCUUUUGCCGGGGAGCAAAAGCCGGACGUGUCCGGCUGUGAGAGUACCCGAAGAAAAAGCAUCGGCUAACUCCGUGCCAGCAGCCGCGGUAAUACGGAGGAUGCGAGCGUUAUCCGGAUUUAUUGGGUUUAAAGGGUGCGUAGGCGGAUUUUUAAGUCAGCGGUAAAAUGUCCGGGCUCAACCCGGGCCGGCCGUUGAAACUGGG